CUUAAGCAUUUAUCCAAAGGAUACUGAAACACUAAUUCAAAGAGACAUAUGCAUCUGUAUGUUCAUAGUCCCAUUAUCUACAAUAACCAGAGUGGAGGCAGCCUAAAUGCCCAUCAACAGGUGACUGGUGAAAGAAGUUAUGUGAUAUAUGCUCCAUGAAAUACUACUCUGAAAUAAAAAAAGAUGAUACUGUGCCCUUUUGGACAAAAUGGAUGAAACUGAAGGAAUCGAACCCAGGGCCUCAGGCAUGGAAGGCAUGUGCUCUACCUGGUGAAUCACCUGCUGAACCUCAAAAUAACUGCUUAAAAUGUUACUUUCAGCUUUCCAGAUGUUUUGUCCAUCUUUUAUGGGGAUGAGGAAGCUACACAGUGCCUAAAGGCCAGUGACCCUGCGGAGCAUGACCGCACAUCUCUGUUACCUCACAGGUAGCUUAGCACAGUAGCCUGACACUGGGCCCUGGCGUCAGCCAGCUCACUUUAACUCCUGCCUUCACCUUUGAUCCCUUCAUCCUGGACAAGUUGUGUUGCUUCACUGUGCCUCAGUUGUUUCCCUUGUAAGGUGGGGGCAAAAGUUGUGCCAUCUGUUUAAGGUUGUUUUGAAGAUGAAGUGAGUUAAUAAAUGUAAAGCACAUGAGAACACACACUAAACACUCAAUAAAGAGUUUUAUUAA